GUGUUGAUAUAUACAUCGUAUAUUUAAUUUUUUGUAUGUUUUGAUUUUUAUUUGUAUAUUUUAUUGAGUUAAUUGUCCUGAAUUUUUGUUAUUGGAGAGAGGGCAAGAGACGUACAGAGUAAGAGAGAGAGAGAGAGAGAGACUGAGAGAUAGGAACAGUGGGAGAGAUGGAUAGAGUGAGAGAGGGAGACACACAGAGAGAUAGGGAGAUAUGAAAGAGAGGGGAUGGAGGGAGGGAGAUAGAUUUUCUAUGUCUUUGUGUAAUUAUCUUUCACGUUUAGCUAUUUAUAUUCUUUGGACUUCUGUUUAGUUUAGUUACUAUGUCUUUGCUACUUUGAAUCGGUUGGAGAAUGUAAUAUUAUUUAGUGGGUUGAGUUGAGUAGUUAAAAUUAUUAAACAAGGCAUGAGAGAACCAAUAAACAUUUAUAAGUGGUUGGGGAUGAGCCUGAGUUUAGAAGUGAAUUCAUUCAAUGUUAUAAAUGUAUACUUGAUGUCACUUGUUUAAAAUUGUUUGUUUAUAAUAACAUGUAUGUUGUUUUUCUAAUACAACUGGAAAACGGCACAAGUGAGCUGAAUUUCUUAGUGGUCAUUAUGCCGGUGAGGAUUUGUGUCCUAAAUUUGAACAGGGUGUCCUAAAUUUCCAGCAUCAGAGGACUUCCCAUUUACUAGAUCAACAUGGAAAUGUUAGCGGCAGACUAUUAGUUUAGGACAGCUACAUUGACAAAGAUUAUCUGCCAGCUAAGAGAGGUUAUGUGGGAUUAGAACCACCAGGAGAUACUGGUUCGUGGCAAAAAGAAUGCAAGGACUAUCAGUUCUGGACAAAUACAGCUGAGUCGGGCUACUUCUCUAUCAAAAACAUACACGUUGGAAACUAUACUUUUUAAUAAUUUUGUUGGUUGUGCAAUGUUUUGUGGCAAUACAAAGGAAGUGCCCAAAAUGCAGUUAGCUUUCACCGAGAGCAAACAUAUGACAACAUGAAGUUAGAGCUCUUUUAUCGGCUGGGAUCAUAAAAACAAGAUCAGGAAAUGCACGCUCAUCCAUAUUCCUUAGCAUUUCUUCGCUAUUGCCAUACUUUUAGACAAUGAUGGAUUUAUUAUAGAAAACAGUAGUAUUAUGAAUUCUUAUAUAACUGGUGCAUUGAUGUUGAUUAUGGAUGUAUUGGAUGUUAGGAAUUAUAUGGGAAUCAUGUAAAUACUGACUAUACAUUGUAAAAUAUUAUAAUUUUAGUGUUGCAUUU